rnacentral:lncRNA from 1 species
AGAAGAAGGAAGGGAGAGAGAGGAAAAGAGGAAAAAAAAGGAGAAGGAGAAAGGAAAGGAGAAAGAAGGAAGAGAGGGAAAAAGGGGAGAAGGGAAAAGAGGGAGUUGGCGGAAAUUGCGGGAUUUGACGGCACGCGUGAUGGACUUGACGGGCACGCGGCGAAAAUUACGGGGACGGAAAAAGAGGGUCGACGACGUCGGGGCCGGAACGGCGGAUCCGACGGAAAGAAGGGGAUUUGACGGGGCUCAACAGUCGGAAAAUUUUGGAAAGCAUUUCAACGGGUGAUUUAAUUUGGUAGAUUUUUACGGGCGUUACAAACCUACCCCACUUAAAUUGAAUCUCGUCCUCGAGAUUCGGCUGAAUCCUAAAAAGAUGGGGAAACUCCUUCUUUAAUGCAUCCUCGCAUUCCCAAGUAGCUUCUUCUUCACCAUGUCUACUCCAUUGGACUCUACAAAUCCGCACUACUGAAUUCCUUGUCCUUCUGGUGACGGUGUCUAGAAUCUUGAUGGGUACCUCCUGAUAUCGCAGAUCCUUCUGUAAAUCUAUCGUUUCCACCGGUACUUGCUCUUCUGGCACUCUUAGGCAUUUUCUUAGCUGGGACACAUGAAAUACCGGGUGGAUGUCCG